rnacentral:tRNA from 1 species
AAUGAUUUUCAAAAACUUGUUGAUCUCUAUCCUUAUUACCCAAUUGCCAGAUUGAUUAUCGUUUUUUAUUUCCCGGCUUAGUAU